AACGAACGCUGGCGGCAGGCCUAACACAUGCAAGUCGAGCGAACCGCAAGGUUAGCGGCGGACGGGUUAGUAACGCGUGGGAACGUGCCCAAAGGUACGGAAUAGCCUCGGGAAACUGAGAGUAAUACCGUAUGUGCCCCUCGGGGGAAAGAUUUAUCGCCUUUGGAUCGGCCCGCGUUGGAUUAGGUAGUUGGUGGGGUAAUGGCCUACCAAGCCGACGAUCCAUAGCUGGUUUGAGAGGAUGAUCAGCAACACUGGGACUGAGACACGGCCCAGACUCCUACGGGAGGCAGCAGUGGGGAAUCUUAGACAAUGGGGGAAACCCUGAUCUAGCCAUGCCGCGUGGACGAUGAAGGCCCUAGGGUUGUAAAGUCCUUUCAGCUGGGAAGAUAAUGACGGUACCAGCAGAAGAAGCCCCGGCUAACUCCGUGCCAGCCGCCGCCGUAACAC
rnacentral:rRNA from 1 species